GAUUAAUUCAAACCAACACUGCUAAAAUAAAACACCUAAUGUACAAAGAAUAAUGAUAAGUAAGCGGAAGAGGACUUUGAAACUACGUUAUCGUUUUAUUGACUGUAACUAUGAGCUGAGUCCAUAACAAUUCAUAUUCUCCAAACAAUACCAGACGGCAGUCCACGUAGUGACGAUGAGAACUGAGAGUGUGGUGUGCAAAGAGCUCAAUUUAUAUCUUCAUCAUCAAAAAUGUCGUUCCAGUGGUUCAAAGUACCAUCGAGCAGCACACAGGCCGAUAUAGUGCACUGACAAUUAAUGAUGUUGCAGUUCUUUUGACUAGCUUAUUUAACGGUCGAGAUGCAUACAUAUGAACCCAACGCAGCGCAUACGAUUGAAGCAGUUAUCGUUGUUACGAGCAAAGGAAUAAUGGAUAAUUUAUAAUAUUUUAAUUUAAAAGUUGUCAAUUAAUUUUUGUUAAAAAUACUGCAGCUAGUGCACUUCAAUUCUUUCCAAAAUUUUUCAUUUUAUAUGUAAGUAUGUAUAUGUGUACUUUAUGCACAGUAUACAGAAAAUUUGUACAUAUAAAUACUUGAUUUCUAGGUUUGUAUGUGUACAGAAGUAUAAUGCAGAAUUGGAUUUCGUAAAUCAAUAUUGUUUCCCUAAAGAUCAAUAAAAAUAUAUACAUACAGA